GAACCAGACUCCUACGGGAGGCAGCAGUGGGGAAUAUUGCACAAUGGGGGAAACCCUGAUGCAGCGACGCCGCGUGAGCGAUGAAGUCUUUCGGUAUGUAAAGCUCUAUCAGCAGGGAAGAAAAUGACGGUACCUGACUAAGAAGCCCCGGCUAACUACGUGCCAGCAGCCGCGGUAAUACGUAGGGAGCAAGCGUUGUCCGGAUUUACUGGGUGUAAAGGGCGUGUAGCCGGGCCGGCAAGUCGGAUGUGAAAUCCCAAGGCUCAACCUUGGAACUGCAUUUGAAACUGUUGGUCUUGAGUAUCGGAGAGGCAGGCGGAAUUCCUAGUGUAGCGGUGAAAUGCGUAGAUAUUAGGAGGAACACCAGUGGCGAAGGCGGCCUGCUGGACCGCGACUGACGUUGAGGCUCGAAAGCGUGGGGAGCGAACAGGAUUAGAUACCCGAGUAACC
rnacentral:rRNA from 1 species